AUCGGAAGCUUCUGCCUCCUUUUCCAGCUGCAGCUUAUGGUGUGUCUCGCUCACUACAUUCAGGAUAUCUAGGACAGUGCCUACCUAGAGGAUGAGCCAAACUCGCCCCGCAGACAAGUGUGAUCAGCAAGAAUCCAGUACACGUGGGGCACUUGGAGUUUAACACCAGAACACGUAUGCUGCACACGAGAACCCUUUGGCAUUAGUGCUUUCUUGAGCAAGUCCAUGUUUGAGCCUGAGAAACUUCUCAGAGUCGGACCGAGGCUGGCAUGACUCCCCCUACUCACUGCUCACCCAAGAUGAAGAAGAAGCUCUCCUACUUCAGCAAUAAUCCUGUGUAGGCAGAAAAACUUUAAUUGUACAAGUAUUAUGUAAAUAUUGUAAGUAGCUCACUGAUGGGCCUUGAGAUGACACAUCCUUUGUAGAGAGGGAACAGCCGCCUUCUGCUUCGAGGAAAGAUGAAGUAGCAGAGAUGAGUUCCCCCCACCCCCCACCCCAGGCAGCCUAACUAUAAACCGUUUCCACACUACUUAAUAAACGUAAGGACGGCUAGUACUCCUUGAGAGGUAAGUGGUCAUGGGGAGUCAAGAGAGCACUCAAGUCUAGGUCCCUGAAAGUUCCACAAGAUGGCUAAUCUUCACUGUCAACCUGAUUACACUGGGGGCUACCAGGGAGAUUGAUGGAGUAAGACCCUGGGUGUGUCUGUGGGGGCUUAGCUGAGAGUUUAGCUAAGGCCAGAAGGUCGGCUCUGACCUUUCUGCAGGCUGCAGUCCUGGCUGAAGUAAAGGGGAAGGAAGGAAAGGCCAGGAUACAGGUCUUAGUCUCUCUCUCUCUCUCUCUCUCUCUCUCUCUCUCUUUCUCUCUCUCUUGUUUGUAUAUUUCUUUACCUCCCACCCACCCUUUCCUUUCUACAUUUUCCCAGCAUGCUGUGAUCUGACAUGGCAUGUGAUCCCAUGAAGAUGUACCAAACUCACUGAAGCACCAGGUUGCCCGUGAGAACAGCAGUCCUUGGAAAGGAAACCAAAGGCUGAAGGUCACAGCACUGGGUGCUCACUCACACAGGGCAGAGAGAAGUGCUGGCUUCCACAGAGCAGAGGGCGAGAGUCCACCCUUCCAAGUAUCUGGGGUGGGCCCUAAAGUUGCUAGUGCUCUUAACCUUGCCUGGGAAAGUUCAAAAAUCAACACACCAAAUAUAAAAUUAUCCUUACGGGAUGUAGCUGCUUGCCUGAACAGAGGUCAGAAAUAUUUAUAGAAACACAAGACCACUGAGCAUUCGAUAAGGAAAAGACACAAUGAGGCUUCCCAUGUAAAAGGGUUCAGAAAGAUAUGCACUGCAAUGAAGAGAAAAUGGAGUCGACUGAGAUUUAUGCAGAAAUCACUGCAGAACGUCAGGGAAACACCUGAAAUAUUCACUGGGACUGUUUCAUCUCUUGAGAUGCUGGAUAGGUGGCUGAGAUAGGAAGAGCCUCCUGCUGAGCCUUUGGAAGUGAUAAACUGGAAGGAUGGAGAGACUGGUGAGUUUACCGAGAUGGAGGAAGACACAGCAGCAGAAACCUUCCAAAGUAGAAGGGUCAGGGAAAGGGGAUGCCAACAGCACACGGUGCUCACCGAUCUGUGCGAUGGGGCGGGGCACAAGAGAUGUCUGAGAUCCAUAAACACCCAAACCUAUGAAAACCGCAAGGCACAAAAUCCAAGAAUUCGGUGAUGAAGGAACCUGGGAGGCACAUCAUUGUCAAAUUGUCCGAGACUAGGAGAAUUUUAGAUGUCAGAGGAAAAGCCUCUGCAUAGAAAAGACCAAAGACUCCCAUCCCAGGGCUUUUGUCUUAAUCUAAGGCUGUGAGCCACUUUGAUGUAUUUCUCUCCAAAACAUUUCCAAGGAAGCAACUCCUCCUGGCAGAAGGAACAGAGACUAUCGGAACCUAGGGUCAGUGUGACAGGGUUCUUAGGCCAAAGCUGCUCACUUUUGCCCUCCCCUCCCCCUCCUCAUUUUCAGAGCCUGACUUGCCUUUUUGGGGUUUUUUUUUUCGAGUGAACUUACUUGCCUUUUCAUUUUAACAUAUCUCAGGCCACCAGGGUAUAAAAUAAAAGUUUUAAAGAGGGGCGUUUGCGGAAAGAUUGUUUCUGGCAGGUGCAUGCUUAUGGUUUUUACACGGCCCCAUCCUUCCUCGUCAGACCUCACCUUCAAUGUUUUCGAUCACGGCAGCCAACUAAAGGCAGGAGGGCAUAACUGAGGAACUUAGCCCCUGUAGCCAUGAGAUGGGAAGGCCUCGGAGUCCAUCAGAACUACCCUCCUGUUGGUUCCUGUUUCACGAGCAAAGCAAUUCCAACCUGCUUAGCUGCCAUUAGGCACACAGUGACGCCUUUGGGCGAAUACAUUUCUAACAGGCAUGAUCACGAGAAACUAGACACAUGAAGCAUUGUCUUGAUUAAAUGUGUGCGCCACCACUGCCCGGCUGAAGCAUUGUCUUAAGGCUGCAGCACUGACCCUCCUUCCUUCACAGCCUCAGUGGCUCUUGGUGUCAGCUAACAGGAGCAUGGGCUGAGCAAUGUCACACCAAUUGCACACGGAGGACUGAGGCCCGAAAGCUUCACUUAGGGAGUGUGGGAGGAGAAAGCACCUGGUAAGAUGACCUCCCAAGACUCAAGAGUCUUCUCAUCUGUCCAAGAAACUGGGAAAGGUCGACUCCACCUGCAUCUCUCCUACUCCAAGAAGCAUGCAGCACACCUGUGCGCAAAAUGGAUGGACGAAUGGCUUCAUGAGUAAGAAGAACCCAGGAGUCAGUAGAAUUUCCCUCUAUUCCUGCUAACAUUCUUCCUUGGCUGGAAUGUGGGUGGGACAGAGGCCCUGACUGUGCAUCUCCGGGCCAGCUCUUGUACUCUAGUUUCUGCAGCUUCCUCUGGUUCUUGGCAAAGGUCACCAGACCCAAUAAGAAAUGAAAGGCCGUGGGGAGCUCCUUCCAUAAGGACAGUGACCUGUGAUGGCAGAUCUCUCUCACUGAGCUAGCUCUUUGUCAGCUCAUAGGUAGAAUGCAGCGGAUGGUACUUCAGACAGAACAAGUAGCUAUGGAAGUGGGGAUGUUGGCCUUUGGGGGAGACUGUUUUCAUAGAUCCAAGGCUAUAUCAGGAUACGUCUCCUGAUGUAGACCCUCUCACUACUCUUUGUCAGCUUAAAAGUUGGGUCUAAAGCUAUAGGUAUUACCAACAGGGCCUUAAGGAAUUUGCUAACAGCCCAAAUCCUGUUGAGUUUGCAGCAAAGAAGUCUCUGUUCUCCAGCCACAUCCACGAUGUCUACCCUGCUGUCUCUCCUUACAUUCUAUCAGAUGUCUUCCCAUCCUUUUACAGUUCAGGGCUUCUAGACAAUAGAACUAUCUGGGGGUUUCCAUCUUAAUCCUAGGCUGAGUGCUUCUCUGUGACUUUCACUCUGAUUUUCCAAAACUUCUUCCCUGGGGUUCCCAGUGCACAUUUCCAGUGCAGGGCUUGUCUUGGUACGGUGCAAUGUGCACAUAGAUCCCACAUGCCUUUUCUCUAGACUCCUUUUGUAGUCAGUGUGCUGUAUACUAUUUGUUUCUUAAGUAUGUGCUGAAUAAAUAAUGAUUAUUGAGUGAAUGAAGGAAUGAAUGAAGGAAUGAAUGAAUGAGAGGACCCUUGCUCUUACACUCCUAAAACUCGCAAGUGUAAGUCAAAGUUCUUAGGCAAGCUCAGAUACAAACUAAACCAACUUAGAAACUUGAAAUAAUUUAUGCAAAUCUCUUCUAAUACAGAAUUAGCCUGAACUCAAUGUUCUGAUUGCUCCCUGGCAGACGGUUCCUCUGAACUAUGCUCUAAGUGUUGAGGGGAGAGCAGAGUGAAGACGAUUUCAAAGAAUAGACAAUAUAUCUUUUUUUUUUUCUGCUGAAGCCACUUUAAGCAAAAGAGCCCAACUAGAAAGAUCUAUAAUUGUUCAUCUGAAAGUCAAGAGUCAUUGUGUAAGUAUUUUAUAGUGGCAAAGGAAAUAGGGAAAUGACACAUACAAAUGAGAGCCCAGAGCACAAAGGACAUCUUGCUUUCAGGAAGAUAUUGAAUUUUCCCUUGAAAUGAACAUUGGGUUUAUUUUCAAGUGUUCUAGACAUACAUCUGCAGAGGAAGCUGUCCUGUGACAGUGCUCUGUGGAAGCCAUCUUAGGCUUCUUGUCCUUACUGCUAACCAGUGAUCUGAGAUGGGACAUCUCACAGCCCAAGUUACGGCUGCCAAGGUCAGCAGCCCUGGUAUCUGAGGCACACAUAUCCAAGGCAGUCAAACACAAACCUGACAAAUCAUGGACAAAGCUGAAGUGACACACGCCUGCCAAUGGUUGUCUUCAUCAGCAACACCCUGAACCAAUCUGUACAGAUGCUCAGAGACAGGAGACUUGCUGUCUGCCCCUCUCACAUUAUAAGAGGGAGAUGCAUAGGAGAUGACUCCGAUGGCGUGAGAUGCUUGCUCUGAGCUGUAAUACUUAUUUGGAUGAACCAAUGAGAGAUCACAGAUUUGUGAGCAACUGCCCUGUGUGUGGAAAGCAAGAGAGGAGAAAGAACUGGAGUUACCUCAUGCUGCCUCUCAGAAAGGGAAUAGUAUUGGUACGCUGCACGAGAAGAAACUGAAAUCAUUUUUAGAGUGAGUUUGUCUACUUACCUACUUUUUCCAUCUAGAAAUGUUUGUAUUAGAUAAAAAAAAAUCCUUAAACAUAUUUGUUUUGAAGACCAAGGUAGGAUAGCUAUUUCUGUUUAAAUUUUAAAACAUUUAAAGACUUUUGAUUGUUUUUAUUUUAUGUGUGUGAGUAUUUUACCCUACGUGUGUGUAUAUGCACCAUAUGCAUGCCCGGAGCCCACAGAGACCAGAAGAAGGCAGCCAGUCUCCUGUUAGGAUCGAGAGUUCCCAUGUGAGUGGAACCCACACCAAGGUCUGCUGCCAGAGCAGCAACUACUCUUCGGCUUAAUGACAAGCCAUCUCUCCAGCCCCUCCUGAUUAGUUUUUAUCUGCUUGUCUGUUUCUUAUGCCAUCUAGGCUCUUCCUCCAUGCUGUAUCAGGGCUAGUUCAUUGGGCUUUGCACAUGGGCAAAUAAGGAGCAAGCUAUGGGAUGGUUCUACCUGCUGUGUAGGCUGGGAUGCUCAGCAUGGCACACUCUCCUCGCCUUCUGUUAGACAAUAAACUGGUACUGAGCA
rnacentral:lncRNA from 1 species